UACGUAGGUGGCAAGCGUUGUCCGGAAUUAUUGGGCGUAAAGCGCGCGCAGGCGGCCUCUUAAGUCUGAUGUGAAAGCCCCCCGGCUCAACCGGGGAGGGCCAUUGGAAACUGGGAGGCCUGAGUAUAGGAGAGAAGAGUGGAAUUCCACGUGUAGCGGUGAAAUGCGUAGAGAUGUGGAGGAACACCAGUGGCGAAGGCGACUCUUUGGCCUAUAACUGACGCUGAGGCGCGAAAGCGUGGGGAGCAAACAGG
rnacentral:rRNA from 1 species